AAGUACUCGAAUGAGCUGAACCUGCGGCAGGUCUCCAGGAGCAGAAUAAGCUGUCCUUCGGGAUCCAUCCUGACCACUGCCCUGGGACUGGAAGACCAAGGCUACGUGCCCAGGCUCACAGCAUUUCCACCAUGGCUGAAUGACGCGAUAAUUAGGGAAAGACAGAAGUGCCCCAACAUCUGCUGCUGCUCUGAAAGCGAAUUUCUAAGUCAUCAGGCAUUUUGAAACUGCGCUGUUGCUCUUGACCUGACAUUAAAGCACAUUCCAAGUAAGAUUUUUAAGUGAAUGAGCACAGAAUACAAUACCGAGAUUGACUUCAGACAUUC
rnacentral:lncRNA from 1 species